rnacentral:rRNA from 1 species
CCACCUCCCACCCGUGUUGCCCGAACCUAUGUUGCCUCGGCGGGCCCCGCGCCCGCCGACGGCCCCCCUGAACGCUGUCUGAAGUUGCAGUCUGAGACCUAUAACGAAAUUAGUUAAAACUUUCAACAACGGAUCUCUUGGUUCCGGCAUCGAUGAAGAACGCAGCGAAAUGCGAUAACUAAUGUGAAUUGCAGAAUUCAGUGAAUCAUCGAGUCUUUGAACGCACAUUGCGCCCUCUGGUAUUCCGGAGGGCAUGCCUGUCCGAGCGUCAUUGCUGCCCUCAAGCCCGGCUUGUGUGUUGGGCCCCGUCCCCCCCGCCGGGGGGACGGGCCCGAAAGGCAGCGGCGGCACCGCGUCCGGUCCUCGAGCGUAUGGGGCUUCGUCACCCGCUCUAGUAGGCCCGGCCGGCGCCAGCCGACCCCCAACCUUUAAUUAUCUCAGGUUGACCUCGGAUCAGGUAGGGAUACCCGCUGAACUUAAGCAUAUCAAUAAGCGGAGGA